rnacentral:tRNA from 2 species
GCGGCUGUAGCUCAGCAGGUAGAGUGCCAGAUUGUGGCUCUGGUUGUCGCGGGUUCGAGCCCCGUCAGUCGCC